UACGUAGGAGGCGAGCGUUGUCCGGAGUUACUGGGCGUAAAGGGUGCGCAGGCGGCCGAUCGCGGUUUGCGGUGAAAGCUCCCGGCUUACCUGGGAGAGGGCCGUGAAGACGGGUUGGCUUGAGGCUCGGAGAGGGACGUGGAAUUCCGGGUGGAGCGGUGAAAUGCGUAGAGAUCCGGAAGAACACCGACGGCGAAGGCAGCGUCCUGGCCGAGGCCUGACGCUCAGGCACGAAAGCGUGGGGAGCGAACAGG
rnacentral:rRNA from 1 species